GCCAAAGAGAAAAUUACCCAAUGGCCAAUACCAUGAUCUGAAAAUUCGAUAAUCAUAAAUCAGGUUAUAAGGGGGCCUUGACUCCAUUUCUUCACUCCCCCAAAAUGUUCUCGACAACAAUAAUAGCAAUAUUCCUUUAACAACCAAUUAUCGGUCUUAUUAUGAUCAAAAGCAAGAGUGUUUAAUGGAUUUGAAAAGUUAUCCUGUAAAAGAAAAUAUGCUCGUGUUUGGUGGCGCUGAAGCGAGUUGUUCUUCAUCUGAUGGAAGCUGCAGUCAGAUCAGCCGUGGAAAAACUGUAAAACAAGAACUGGGCUGUCUUCAAGGACUUGUGUCAAAUAAUGGAUUUCGAGAAAAUCAAAAGUUCAUUCUUGAUUAUGGACAUAUCAAUGGAGAUAACAAUGGAGACCCAUUCCUCAUAUUUACUGAUCAAAAGUCAACUGGGAUUUUGGGGAACAGCCAACUGCAGUAUGAUAUUGAAGAAGUUAGCAAAUGAUUAGCAUCGGCAAUGGUUUACUCGAUGAAAACAAGACUCAAGAGAAGCGUAUGUACCAGUACUAAUGAAUUGAAAACUGACUGUAAUUACCAUCGGAAAGAUUUGAAGGGGCAUCGUAUGGUGGGAAUUCAGAUGGUUUACUGUUUGUGAUGGAAAUUAAUGAAAAAACUUAUUUUUUUUCUUGAC
rnacentral:lncRNA from 1 species